CAAAGGUUUGGUCCUGGCCUUCCUAUUAGUUAUUAACAGAAUUACACAUGCAAGCCUCCACAUCCCGGUGAAGAUGCCCUCUAAAUCCAUAAACGAUUAAAAGGAGCGGGCAUCAGGCACACUAAAUAAGUAGCCCAUAACGCCUUGCUCAACCACACCCCCACGGGAUACAGCAGUGAUAAAAAUUAAGCCAUGAACGAAAGUUUGACUAAGCCAUGUUAAUAUUAAGAGUUGGUAAAUUUCGUGCCAGCCACCGCGGUCAUACGAUUAACCCAAAUUAAUAGGCUCACGGCGUAAAACGUGCUAAGGAUUACAAAACACUAAAGUUAAAAUUUAACCAGGCCGUAAAAAGCUACUGUUAAUAUAAAAUAUACCACGAAAGUGACUUUAUCAUCUCCAACAACACGAUAGCUGGGACCCAAACUGGGAUUAGAUACCCCACUAUGCCCAGCCCUAAACACAAACAAUUUACACAACAAAAU
rnacentral:rRNA from 2 species